GAUACCCUAUUAUUUUGGAAUGUUAAUUUUUGUGCUUGAGUAGUACUAGGUAUGUUCUUGAAACUUAAAGAAUUUGGCGGUAUCUUAUUCCAUUCAGAGGAAUCUGCCUCGUUAUCGAUAGUCCGCGUUGGACCUUGCUUAGUUGUUAUGGUUUGUAUACCGCCGUUUAUUGAUUAUUCUUUUAGGAUUUGUUAAUUUUCUGGUUUCUCUAUUUUGAUUUAUUUCAGGUCAAGGUGCAGCUUGUUUCUAAGUGUUAUUGGUGGAUUACAUUGUUCUUUGUUGUUUGGAUUGCUGGUUGAAUUAUUGGUAUGAAAUUGGAUUUGAUUGUAAUGUCUUGAAGAUUGUUUUCGUGAUAUGGGUUCUGAGAUAUGUACACAUCGCCCGUCGCUCUCGUUUAUUGGUUAAUGAGAUAAGUC
rnacentral:rRNA from 1 species